rnacentral:rRNA from 1 species
CACCGGCGGCUCGAGUGGUGGCCACUUUUAUUGGGUCUAAAGCGUCCGUAGCCGGCUUGGCAAGUCCCCUGGGAAAUCUGGCGGCUUAACCGUCAGGCGUCCAGAGGAUACUGCCAGGCUUGGGACCGGGAGAGGACAAGGGUACUCCAGGGGUAGGGGUGAAAUCUUGUGAUCCCUGAGGGACCACCAGUGGCGAAGGCGUCUCACUAGAACGGGUCCGACGGUCAGGGACGAAAGCUGGGGGCACGAACCGG